rnacentral:lncRNA from 1 species
CAAAGAAUUAUCCAUUCGCACAAUUAACAAGAGAUACAGUGAGGAUAUGAACAUGGAAACACUCAGAGUCAAACAAUCCAAACAUCAACAAAAUUAACUACUACCUCAUCUCAUACAACAAUUACAUUAACAAAUAAUAAUGUAAAUGGACAAAAUAAUCAGUCUAGAAGAUACAAGAACGGACCUUUGGAAUAAAUCAACUAAAUUGAAAUUACAAGAGGUUAAACAACUAGACGAUUCUUGACCGGAGCUUUCACCGAUGAACCCAGGCGGAAUCGGCUACUCAUGACCUCAACGGCAACAACAACAGUACCUCCGCAUGCAAAUGAAAGGAGACUCGGACAACAACUUUCCUGGAUGGCUGGAUCUGUCCGUUUUUCUCUAAUGCGAAAAACUUUUAACAAAAAAACCUUCACCGGAUAAACUCGAACCUCUAGAACCCAACUCGAAGUUCUAGCUAAACCAUGGGGCGUUCAAGCUUGAAAGAACUCUUGGCCAUGACAAGACUUAGACUUUGAUAUUACCAAAACAGAAGAAAACCAAAGAAUUAAAGAGGGGUUGUUAUCGAUUUGGAUGUUUUUACAAAAGAAAGAGGAUGAUGCGCCUUUGAAAAAAUAAGAACUAAUGACUUUGAACGAGUUCUCACUAUUUAGAUGGAAAAGUGAAAAGGGUGUGUUCUGCUACACGGAAUCAAUUGGACAAAAUUUGGAUUUACAAGGAAACUACAAGUAUUUACUUAGUUUCGUACUUUCUUUUUUUAGAUUUGGGGACGAUGAUCUCCUUUCAUUUUUGGAAGCUCGGCCGCUUUUCUAGUCUAGGUCGUU